UCUGCCUCCCAAGUGCUGGGAUUAAAAGCGUGAGCCACCACUGACCAGUUAAACACAAACAUUUUGCUUAAAUUUUGUUUUUUGUUUUUGUUUUUUUCCGAGACAGGGUUUCUCUGAUUAGCUCUGGCUGUCCUGGAACUCACUUUGUAGACCAGACUGGCCUCGAACUCAGAAAUCUGCCCGCCUCUGCCUCCCGAGUACUGGGAUUAAAGGUGUGCGUCACCACUCCCGGCGUUUGCUUAAAUUUUAAUGAUGCCUCCAAUUCUUCUUCCAAAAGUAAUGACAGAUGUCUCUUUCAUGUCCAUUUGGCCAUGAAGUGAAAGCUUUAUCAAUAAGAAUAACCAUACAGAUUCCUCAACCUCCCUAGGAGCGUAGUGAGCAUUAACAGAUCUGUGCGGUCCCUGGACGUGGUAUGACACAGAGAGGCCCUGGAAGGAGCUCCACCUAUAACAACCCAGGACAUUCAGGGCUGUGCCGUGGGAUUAGAGAAAGGCACCUGUGGGUGGGUAGAAAGAUCUGCAAAAGGCAAGCCAUAUGGACAGAUUAGUAACGCAACCCAGAAAGACCCCAGAUGGCUCAGUGAAGUGAGUCUUGGAGACCAGCUGUGUGACAGUGGCCUUGGUGGACUAAGGUGUCGUCACCAAGUCCUACUUGAAUGGUAUAAACCACUUAGAACCUGCGGAGGGAGCAGAGAGCCUUCCUGUAUGCUCAGGAGUUUCUCUCAGCCUGGCUAAUGGUUGUUGUAGUUAAAGGUCCCCACUUACCUGCUUCAUCUCGAGACACAGGGCAGUUCAAGUAGACACAGAGCCCAGAGCAGCAGGACUCCUCUGGGGGAAGCCCUAGGGAGGUUGCUGUGGUCACUCCACUGCUGCAGCUGCUGUGCUCCCGUGUGUGUCACCUUGUCCAGAUGUGUGUCCUGCGUCAUCACGUGAGGGCCGAGUUCUCGCUUGCACUAAACCCUUCCUUUAUCCUGCCAAUCAGCUCAGGGGCUCCCCAGUCUUACCUGAGCAGAGUGUGUCUGUAGAAGAGCUACAGGGUCAGCUCGAGCAGGCGGCCAGACUCCAUCAAGAGGAGACAGAGACAUACACAAACAAGAUCCGUAAGGUAAAUAUCCCAGGAGGGUUCCAGCACGUCCGCCCUGUGUGUCUCGGAGCCCCUUCAGGAGCAGGGCCGUGAUGUAUUUGAAAGUGAUGUUGUUUGUCGCAGGCAGGUGCCAAGACUCAUAGGCAUCUCCACAGGUCACUCGGCUGAGAGGCUCACUCUUAGAUGCACCAGAGAGAACCUGUCCACCUAUCUAUUACAUAGCACACUUUUCAGUCGGGCAGUCUCUCCUCAUGCACAGAGGUGCCAACCUAGAACAUUCCAGAGAUGCCUUGAAACCACAGAGAGUCCCAGACUUCUCAUAUGCAUGCAGUUCAUUCCUGUACUGUUUCUUUCCUUGUGGGUCACGCACGGGUAGAGUGGAACGGCAAUAAUUAAUCGUAAAGUAAAAACACGAUAACAAUACCCUCCAGUAAACAUUAUUUAGAUGGAUGAAUUAGCUGUUUGAUUUCCUCUUCAAUACUUUUGGACCAUGAUUGACCAGCAGAUAGCAAUCCACAGAAAACAAAAGCCUUGGAGAGGGAGAAACUGUAGUUUCGGGAACAAUCUUCAGAUCUAGUUUAACUUUCCUGCAACCAUGCUGGUAAACUACCACGAAACAAGGGUGUUGAAUGUAACCGGGCAAUAAGUAUGUCUGUCACUAAAAGGAGUUGUCUAGUAGAAACAUCCCCCUAAACUGUUGUCUUU
rnacentral:lncRNA from 1 species